UCCAGAUCUUUUAAACUCCGGGCUCCUCUCACGGUUUGGUGCACACACAGACACCUCUUCAAAGUUGAGGCUAUCAAACUGCCGGGAACCUGAUCAGGUGGUAAAUGGAUAAUACGCAGUGUUGUGAAAUUACUCGGUAUGAGAUCUGGAGUUUCAAAGAUUAUGUUUGGGUUGUUACAGGAUAAAAAGUUUCAAGACAUCGAGGCAUCAUGAAGACACUAAUGUACAUACUCAUGAGCCAAAGGAUAAGAGAAAGUCCACUCCCUCCUGAUCCAGAGUGCUGACUUUAGACCCGGGUCUUUCUUUCCUCCAAAGAGAUGAAUAGUCUUUUUGUGAUGCCAAAUGAGAAGGCAGUAGUUGCCAGAAAAGAGAUCAAGCAUGAGGUCAUGUAGCUGCUCUAAACUCGUUUCCUCCAAGAACGGUGGUACCUUGACUUUAUAUAGAAGGGAUAUGGAGGAUGUCAUCCUUAAUGAGGAGGAAGAAGAACACCUUCGUAAGUCAUAGGGUACAAGGCCACAGUUGUUAAGUGGCAACCUCACCAUCAAAUGCGGCUGAAACUCCAUCCCGAAAUUCCAUCCCGAGGUAUGGGACAUGUAACGAGAGCUGUGUUUUACGCCGGCGGCUGGGGGAAGCUGGGUUUCUUGACCCACACAUGGCACCACAUAGUUCACAGCAGCCCAGA